CGCCAUGUUUCCCACCAAGAUGAUAUUGGAUUAACCCUUUAAACUGUAGGCCAGCUCCAAUUAAAUGCUUCCUUUAUAAGAGUUGCCGUGGUCACAGUCUCUCUCCAUAGCAAAAGAAAUCUUAAAUAAGACACUUGGGGUGCUGCACACAUCUCUGGGCCCCAGCAUUUAGCAUAGUCCUGUUCUUUCUCAAUGGUGCCGUCUAAUUUCAAGAAGGAAAGGCCUGAAGGUGUGGGUCACUGCCCCCGAACCCUGCUGGGAAACUAAUUUGGUUAAUAAAAUAUUUGUGGGGUUCUUGCUGUAUCUGGGGGAUUCUAGUAUAUUCAAGGACUCUGAACCUCAGAAGGGAUAAGAGACCUCUAAAUGCAGACAAGGAUUAGAGUAAGGAAGGAAGAAUGAGAGUGAGCUCCUAGGUCGGGAGACCGACAUUCCCUGACAUUCUGUCAGGAAAAGGCAGAAAGCUGGGAGGUCAGUUUCUGUGUCUGGCUCCAGAUGUGAGUGGAAGGAAGAAUGUGCCCAAUUGAGAGGAUUUUUUCCUGUGGAGAAUUUCUUAAGCUUCAGACAUGACUGUCAAAAAAGAACAGAGGUGAGGUAUGAAGCACACGGAAGACGAGUUUGACACAAUAGGGUCAGAGAAGUUCAAGGCCCGUCCCUCUUGGCAAGCUUGACAGGAAUGUUAAAACCCAGCCGGGGAUAGGGAGCCUAUGACAGUAAAAUUUUAAGGCUUCAUUUUUGGUAAAAUAUGACUUACUGUCAGGUAUAUGAGUUGGUAGCUUUGAUGCAAAUAUGUAAUAAACCUCACCUCUUCACUGAAAUCUGAAGAGAUUUUCUUCAUAUCAAUAAAGGCGCGAGUGUGGUAAAAAGGCUUUUGAUCACUUCACAUGAAAGGUGUUGUGGAUUGUUAUACUGUCACCAUAAUUAAAGUACCGUGGAGUGUGGAAAAAUCCUGCAGAUCUCCCACCUGCCUCUGUUUAAAAGACACUUUUGUUGAAAACCCCACUCACCCAGCUCUGGUGUAGUUUUGACCUUGUAGUUAGAAAGAAACGUUUUAACAAGACAACGGUCUUCCAGGCCUGCUCCAGGCUGUGGACGACACUGGCCUUCACAAAAAUAAGAGUUUCUCUGCAGCAGGGAUGUCCUAAGAGUUUAUUUGAUCAGAAAAAAAGUUCUUUAAGGGCCUCUCUCCUUUCUCCUCCCUUUCGUCUCUAAGACUCCCGUCUGUUAGUGAGAUGGGAAGUUUAAGAUGUUUUGUUUUUGUUUUUUGUUUGUUUGGUUUUUUUUUGUUGUUGUUCUUGUUGUGAUUUUGUAAUACGCUGUACACACCACCGUGUCCGCUCCACAGUCACAGGCUGAGACUGGCUGAGGGUUUAUUGUCACUCAAGUACAAGGUCCCACCUACGCACGCACGCCGGGCAUCACGAGAGUAGCCUCCUCCGCAGCGGCAGUGGCGUUUGGUUUCCUAUCGAGUUCUUGUUUUGAUAAGGUGGCAGACAGGUUUGUCCUGCUCAGCUCCUUUUAGUGGAUGAAUACAAGUGUCUGACAUUCGAAAAAUGGACUCAAAAGAAGAGAACAUGCUCUCUUACUUUUCUCAAGCGGUCCAGCACCAGACGGGCGCGAGGAUGGUCGGUGAUGAUAGCCAGGCACCCCACAUGGCCUGUUCGUGUGGUUUUAGUGCCGGGCGUGUUGUGUCUGUUUAUUGUCAUUUUCUUUGUGUUUAGUGCAGCAUUGAGGCACGAUAGCAAUAUAGCAGAAAUUGAACUUGAUCGUGGUCUGGCUAAUGCGGCUUGUAAAGCCAUCUUGGAAUUUGGCAGUGUUGUGGCUGAGGACGGCUCUGCUGGAAAAAUCUGUUAAGGACUUUAUCUCCUGGAGGCUUCCCCUGACGGCUCACCAUGGCUGGCAUUCAAGUUCAGUUCUCAUGGUGGAGUUAGGGAAAACCAAAGAGCUAUGCUUCUACGCCUCGUGGCAUCCCGUGUCAUUUAAGGCCAUAGAGUGUGUGCUCUGUGUGUCCUUCUCACUCAUUCUUGAGCCAACUUCUCCAGGCCAGCUUCAGGAACUGGGAGUAACGGCAUGUUCUCUGUUGAGCCCCUCCCAAACGUGCUUACGCAGUCCGCCAUUCCGUCUCGAGGACGUAGACCCCGUUUAUUCGCCCUGUGAGAAGUCCCGCUGUGAGUGAGCGGAUCUUGAAUUUACAGAGUGAUUGAAGACAGUGGGCAUCUUUUAAAGCGGAUACACAAACACUCCCUUCGCUAUUUGGGUUUUCCUGAAUAUCUUUUGAUAAAACCAUUUUAUCAUUUUUCUUCAGUUGGAUCCCUACCGAGCCUCUUGAGGUGUUUUGCACCAGUUAUAGUAGAACAGAAGCAAACUGCAAUGUUCAGAUGUUAACAUUGCAUCUGCCCGUCUAACGGAAUCGACUCUGCUCCCCGUGCUGUAUUCCAAAUGCGUCUCCCAAACUUUCUAGGAACCUAAUUUUAUUGCAUGCCCACACUAGCAGUCUAGAUUCGCAUCUUUAUAUUUUACUUCUUUUUCUCCACUUCGAUUUGUUCAAGACUUCCACCCAGGUCAGGAUGACGUCAUCGGAAUGGGUGUUCCUGGGAGUGCCAGAGACAGUAAUCACAGUAUUUCAUCGUUGAGUGUGAUGUUUGCUCAGGUUUCUAGCUGACACUCCGUCUCGAGGGGGAAGUUUUUCCAGCUUGGAGGAGUUGGUUUGCUGUGCGUGUUAUGUUUCAUGAAAUGGUUUUUCUGCUUCUGUUGAGAUGAUCAUAGAUUUUUUUUCUCUCUCUUUUUGGUUUGUUAAUUGAGCGCUGUUUUGAAAUGUUGAACCAACAUGACAUCCCAGGAAGUACGUUCUGUUUGAUUUUUCUCAUUUGUGUUGAGAGUGAUUUUAGUUUGCUUAGAAAUCCCAAAUCGGACAGGCAGUUGUGUGAGCUGCCUAGAGGCUAAGUGCUUUGUUGGCCUCCACUAAACUCGGUUGAUCUGCAUACUUGGCUUUUGGUCAUAGGCUCCACAGUCGUUCUCUUCAGAGGUUUGUUGAAGGUUGUAGGAAGAUAUAAAGGUAUUUGGGAUGUACCCUUAACUUUUAAAAGUUGAUAUCCUAGAGGGCUAACGGGAGCAUACUAACGGGAAGUUGGAUGGGUGGAGCAAUUGGCAGUAGCUCUCCUUAUGAUCCAAGAGACUAUAAUAUAAUAUAAUUAAUAUAAUGUUAUAUAUAUAUUCUAUUCAUCCAUACCUGAGAAAUUGUAGAAAAGUUCAAGCAGUUCCACAAGAACAGAGAGCAUAAGCUGCCACAGAAUCAGAAAAUCCAGAAUCCAGGACAUAGGCUAAAGACUAAUGAUCUCUUGGUUUCCAUGACAACCAGAGGUAGCUUCCCCUGAUAACCAGAAGCUUGAGCUUUCAGUGUCACUUCAAGGUCCUGCUUCUCAUGUUCUGUAUUUUCUUCCUUAAAGAGAAAUUUCAAUUUGUACAAGCUUCAGAUUCUAAAAAUCCCGAGUGUACCCCUUACAAUGACUCAGUUUGCCACCUAGCUAUCAAGCCUGGAUGGACCCUGUGCUCCGAGGGCCCCUUCCUGGCAACCCUGAUAAUUCUCUCCGUUUAGCAAUUAGAGCGGCUGGCAGAUUAAGUUACCCUGUUGCUUCCCAGCUGGGCUGGAAGAACUGUGGAUGCCACAGGGAAGCAGCAUUCGGCUAGCUCGCACGUUGCGCUCCGAGGGCGCACGUGAUCAAAUUCAUUAUUAACGCUGAGCCGAUCUGGUUACCUUGAUUGACACUAAGUGAUUUCAGCCCAAGCUAUAUUUGUCUUCACGGAGGGAAAACGAGCGCGGUGGAGCUGAAAGGUUAUUUUCCUCUUCAAACACGUUUGGGGCUGUCACUGCAGAGUUACGCACCCUGACAUCAAAAUCAGUCCCACGGGCUUUGGGAGACAGAAAAUGACAUCAUGGCCAAAAAAUGGUGUCAGGCCUUGUGAGGACUCAACCAACUGUCUGUACAUAGCUGGAGCACAACAAAUGUCCCCGUGCACCUCUUUCGGGAACCUCUUUUCUGUUCCCAUCAUCAAGAUGUUCCGGGACCCGAGGGACCUUGUCAGUUCUCAUUAUGUCUCCGAAGAUUUUCUAGAAUAUUUCUGUGUCUCUGCAGUCCUGAGGCCACUCUGACUUGACACCGUUCUUGACGACCCAACGUGGCUUCAGAGUUUGAACGUCUCUUCUGGGGAGGCGAGGCCCAGUGGGGAAGUCUCUCUGCCAUUCUCUCUAUGCCUUCAAUCCUUGCCCCCUCUCCUCCCUCCGUGCUUGUCCUUAACCCCUGGGGAGUGUUCUGGCGAUGGUUGUGGUCACUGUAGAGUUACAGGCAUAGUAACACCAAAGGGCACCACUGUGCAUGAGUCAUGACCGGUAGGUAGGCUCUGGCCCUUCUGACUGUCAGAGAGUAGAAGCAGCUGUCCCUCGGCAUCCGUAGGACCCACGACCUGGUUCUGCACACCGUCAGUGGGCCACUUUUCUAGACUCUUCCCCAGCAGCCGCACUGAAGGUCCUUUGUUUAGAUCAAGCUGUGGUUCUGCUUUCACGAUGGUCUUCUGAGACCACAGGGCCUCCCCAAACUGGACUUGCACAUGUCUUUGUGCACUUCUACAGAGAGCAUCUAGAACAUUCAUUGGCUUCUCAGAACCACCUGUUGCUUGUGAAUAGAAUAUUUUUUGUGUACUCCCUUGGGGCCACCAGGAGUCUUGGCUUCCAGAGGACCUCCCAGGCCUGAAGACAGAUAAAAUAAAGGUUAUACUCCCUGUGUUCAGGGACUGGGUGCUGAAUGCCAUUUGCUGGGUGCCACAUGGUCACUCACUCCUAGGCUGAAUUCUGCUAAAGAUAUGUCCCUUUCUACCAUCUAGACAGCCCAGGCAGAGCACAGAGCAGGGAGCUAGGGAUAGAGCAAGCAGCUGAGUCAGGUUUCACUCAGCAUCCAGAGCCUGGACAGGAGAGGCUGUAGGUCUUGAUAUCUCCCUCAGCCCUGCCUUGGUGGAACCAAGGACUAUGGUUCUUUGGUGGGGUCUCCCUGGGCUGCCAAAUGAGGCCCAGUGCUGUGCAGCCUGUCACCUUUCACAGCCAAAUGCCAUCGGUCUCUGGAAGGUGUGGCCCGGUCACAGAGCUGACAAAGAUGGGCAUUGAAGGCAGGCAGGAAGCAGGUCUGUAAUUACGGAGGCAACUGAUAUGCUGUUCCCAGGGGAAUCACCUUUCAGCUUAGAGUGUCGUCGUCAUUCAUGAGCCCUGUUCUCGGUAACGAAGCGAAGCAGGCCGGUGUGGCUGGGUUUGAGAUAGGACUUGUGGUCUUCUCUUUCUGUCCUCCCCCGACCCCUGCCUCUCACCGCCUCUCCCCAAACUCCAGACUGUCUUUUUUUUUUCUUUUUUUCAGAGCUGGGGACUGAACCCAGGGCCUUGCACUUGCUAGGCAAGCGCUCUACCAUUGAGCCAAAUCCCCAUCCCCCAGACUGUCUUUUAAAACUAGGUUGAAUAUCGCUCUUUCGGGCAGCCUUCCAGGGUUGCUGUUCCCUAAUAUGCGGCUUGCUCUAACACAGAUUUGCAGCUUCCGUGGGUAGCUCCUUCUGUUGUAGCUGGCCCUGCAGGACAUUGGGAAGAGCUCAGAAGCUGGGAUCUUCCAAAUGUCCGUUCCACUGUUUGCACAGGGGUGACAGUAAAUUCUAGCAUCCACUCCUAGGCUCUGUGCGGAGACAGCCGCCUCUAGCUGUGUGAGAGCUUUAGUCUUGCCUCUUUUUCCUCAGAAUACAUACCCAGUGCUCACUGAGGGAACAGAUGGAUGGACACAGGGGUAGGUGGGAGGGUAGAUGUUGAGUGUGGUGUGUAGUGCCUAUAUCUAGCCCAGCCCUGUUCAGCACACUUCUCUAAGAGAUCCCAGCAUCAUUGAUGAAGGCGAAGGCCAGCAUAGGGGCCUGGGGCCUGACAGACAUGGGGACCCUUCAUGUCUUUGGACACUGCCUGUUGCUGUACUGAGGGAAGGUGAGGGUCCUUGCUCUAGUUGGCUCUUGGCCGACACCAGGAUGAGAGCACUGUCAGCACUGGGAUACUUGUCACUCAGCUUCUGGCAUUGCUCACACACCCUAUUCUCACUGGGUCACCUCAGCGUUGGGAGCCUGGGCCUCACUGUACGGUACUGUAGGUACAGGGAGGGGCUAAGCUAAGCGCAACACAGAUGCACUGCUGCUGUAUGGGUUUGGGGUUUGUUUAUCAUAAACGUAAAUAGUAAUUGCAAGCAGUGGAAUUUCUGAUUUAUGGAAAAUUCAACUAUGAAACAAAACUCUAGUAUUUCCUUUUGAAUGUGGCCAGUGGGCUAUGGGAAGCAGAGUGGUUGAGUAUGAACCCGCCGUGACAUCUUUAGACACAGGGAGAGGCGCUUUCUUCCCAGCUCACAGGGUUUCCCCUCCUGCCUAAGUCCGCAUAGCCACUCCUGCUCACAAUUUCAUUGUAACGUGCUUAUGAGUUUUAUAGUUUUUUGUAAUAAAAAUAUGUGUAUUUAGUGAAAUUAACUUGACAAAUAUGUUGUGAUCCAAAGUUCUCUGUGUUCAGCGUUUUAUCAAAUAUCAAAUGAGAUGGUUUUUUUGCAACUGAUCAAAAUUCUAUAAAUAUAAUAGAAAUUUAAACGAAUAAUUAAAAUAGAGGGGUACUAGGGAUUUACUUGCCCUCCUGCAGGAGGGAAUUCUUUUGCCAGUUUGCCACCCUGACUACAUUCGCAUCAGCCCGAGACCGUGUCAUGCCUCUGUUACUGUCUCCUAAUACACAGAGAAACUGUGUUCAUGAGAUACAAGGGGGGCAUAAAGGAAGAUACAGCGUUGACGCUCAAUUCUUUCUGCCUCAACCCUUCCCAGCUGUAUAGCAAAUCACUCCAGACAUUAUUGCUAAUGACCUGGAGUUGAUUCGAUCCAACCAAUUGGUUGGAUGCAAAAUUAGCCGGAUGGCUAAGAAAAAUGACUUGUAGUCAUUGCACACAUUGAUCUUUGAAAGUUCCAAGGAAGAGAUUUGCCUGAAACUUAAUCAUGUCAUUUUUAUUCUCAUAUGAUGUACCUUAUUUUACCUAAUGUGUUCUGAGAAAGUUAAAAAAAAUCAAAAUAUUGUUAAUGCAUCUUGCAAAUACAAAGUUUUUUUAAAAAGCA
rnacentral:sRNA from 1 species